CUGUAGACACGUAGUUUGAUCAGUGGCUCGAGGACGAACGCUGGCGGCGCGCCUAACACAUGCAAGUCGAACGAGCGAUGGAGAGCUUGCUUUCCAGAGCGAGUGGCGAACGGGUGAGUAACGCGUGAGGAACCUGCCUCAAAGAGGGGGACAACAGUUGGAAACGACUGCUAAUACCGCAUAAGCCCACGGGUCGGCAUCGACCAGAGGGAAAAGGAGCAAUCCGCUUUGGGAUGGACCCGCGUCCGAUUAGUUAGUUGGCGGGGUAACGGCCCACCAAGACCGCGAUCGGUAGCCGACCUGAGAGGGUGACCGGCCACAUUGGGACUGAGACACGGCCCAGACUCCUACGGGAGGCAGCAGUGGGGAAUAUUGCACAAUGGAGGAAACUCUGAUGCAGCGACGCCGCGUGAGCGAAGAAGUAUUUCGGUAUGUAAAGCUCUGUCAGCAGGGAAGAUAAUGACGGUACCUGACCAAGAAGCCCCGGCUAACUACGUG
rnacentral:rRNA from 1 species